CUGCUGACGAGUGUACCCUUUCUACAGAAAGUAAAAAAAGGAAAAAAAGGCCUUGCUGAGGAAAUUAAACUUAUGUUCAAGUGCUAUUUCUUUAUGGCACCUAGGAACAAGCAUUUCUAACAGUAAGACUCUGUCUCAAAAAAAAAAAAGAAAGACAAAAAAAAAAAAUAUUUAAAGCUAGAAAUGCCCCUAGUUGGAUUUUGUGAGUCAACAGAUCAUAAAGAUUAAGAAAAGGCUCAGCAUCUGCUGAUCUGGGUUCAAAUCCCAGCUACACAACUCACAGCGUGCGAACCUGGCAGGGCCUCUAAGAUCUCAGUUUCCUCAUCUGUGAAAUGGGGAAACAACAGCACCAGCAUUCAACAAAGCAUUCCAUAAAUGCAAGCUGUUAGCCCAGCGUGGAGACCGAUAUUCUGGAAGUUGGUAAUGAAGAAACUGAGGCCCCAGAGGCACAGACACUGGCCCAAGUUUGCACACGAAGCUGGGGACACAGCUGAGAUGGGAGCCCAGACAGACGGGUUACAGCAAGAUUCCUGACCAACCACGCAGGCGGGCCGCGCAGUCCAGCAGCCAAGAGAACAGGCUCUAGAGGCCACCUGCCUGGGGAAGCAGGGAAGAUGCCCAGGAAGGUUCCUUCUUGCUAGAAGCUUUGCAAAGGCCGCUGGCCACACCCACAACUGCUGGCUGAGAGGCCUGGUGGGCUCACAACUCAGGAAGACCCCACCCACCUGCCCGCCCCCACGAACAGCCCAGGAGCAGGACUGAGCUCAGCACAGUGGAGCUGAUUUACCUGCUGCAGCCUUUCUCCUCUGCCAGAGGUCUUCUGGGGCCACCAGAACCUGGCCAUGCUCACAGAGUGUCCAGCCCUCACUGAGCACAGGCCCUAGCAUGGACCAUGGGAAAAGAGACAGCAGCAAAGAGGAUGAAAGACACGUCAAUAAUGAAGCAGAUAAAAAAUUACAGAACUCAAAUAGAAAACUUGGGGUGAAACAUGCAUCUUGUAACGAGGAAGCAACCGUGUUAAUGGGUGCCAUGUACUGCAGAUGAUGGAACAGAAAGACACAGGGAGCCCGAGCCUCUGGGAGCACCACUGAGCUGCUAUGGCAGCCAGGUCUUCCCAUUUCUAGACUUCCUGUUAUAUGAAGAAACAAAAAUUUAGUUAAGGUCCUCCAGUAAUAUUUCUGUUGCAUGCAGUCAACCAUAGUCCCUAAUUCAGUGCACAAUGCCCAAGGUGCACAAAGGAGAAAGGAUAAAAGGACUUCUUAGGAACAUGAUCUUUGAGUUGAUCUUGACAAAUGAAUAGAGUCUAAGAUUUCCCAUGGGCGAAGGCACAGAGGGGCAGCCUCUUAUUCUCCCCGCCUGCCAGGGCUUCGAUACCUGAAUGUGCAGUCAUCGUGUGACACCCACCUUCCAGAACCUCUUACUUUUUCUUGGGCACCUGAAACUAAGAAUCUGGUCUUUGACCAACUAAAUCAAUCAUCACCUUCUCCCAUUCAACAUUCCAACCCCCAGGCUGGGCGCGGUGGGUCACGCCUGUAAUCCCAGCACUUUGGGAGGCCGAGGCGGGCAGAUCACCUGAGGUCAGGGGUUCAAGACCAGCCUGGUCAACAUGAUGAAACCCCAUUUCUACUAAAAAUACAAAAAAAUUAGCCAGGCGUGGUGUUAGGUGCCUGUAAUCCCAGCUACUCAAGAAGCUGAGGCAGGAGAAUCGCUUGAACGCAGAAGGUGGAGUUUGCAGUGAGCUGAGCCUGUGCCACUGCACUCCAGCCUGGGCAACAGAGUGGUAUAAGGAAGUGGGGCCUUUGGGGAAUUAUUAGCUCAUGAGGGUGGUGCUUUCAUGAGGAGGAUCAGUGCCCUUAUAAAAAAGACACUCCAGAGAGCUCCCUUGCCCCUUCUGCCAUGUGAGAACACAGUGAGAAGGUGCCAUCUAUAAACCAGGAAGUGAGCCCUCACCAGACACCAAAUCUUCCAGCACCUUGAUCUUGGACUUCCCAGCCUCCAGAACUGUGUGAAAUAAAUUUCUAUUGUUUAUAAGCCAUCCACUCUACAGUAUUUUUAUUAUAGCAGCCCACAUGGACUAAGACAGGAACCUUCUAGGAGCCUGGCUCUGGGCUCUGUGCCUCACAUUUAUCUCAUUUCACUCUUGCAACCACCCUGAGAUAAGGACAUUUGUCCCCACUUUGCAGGGGCAGAAGGAACUGAGGUGCAAAGAAAUUAGCAACCCAGCCAAGGUCACACAGCUAGUAAGUAAGGUAGGUUGGUGUGGAAUUCAGACCUGCCUGUGUACCUUCAAAGUAUGCUUGCACUCUAGUUCCCCAUUCUGCUAUCAGGAGCCUUGAAUUCAACAUCCAACCCAAACACCACCACCAUGUGUGGCUUAGAUAAAUUAAUUUCACCUCCUUGAGCCUCAGUUUGUCCAUGUCUAAGUUGAGAGAGUUCUGGGGGCUAAAUAGGAGGUCUCAAAGG
rnacentral:lncRNA from 1 species